AGUUUGUUUGUGCUCAGAGCAGCGAAAGGGAGAGCCCUGGCCGCAGGGAAGGGCAGGGACCAAGGUGGGCGGAGAGUAAACCCCGAAGAAUGGCAGCUGUGGACUGGACUGCAAGAACUGCCGCAGGAGAGGACCUGCUUCCGGAAACAGGCUCCUGAAGAUGGAGACACCCAGAUUCUGCUCUGGCCGACCACAUCCACCACAGAUACACCAGGUGGACUGAUGCGCUGAUGGCCAGGAUGGACCAAGCACCCAGGAGUUCAAAGGAGGACACAGCAUCUCCCCAUCACAACCUUCUAUGGGGCCAGGGUUCAUGGCUGCCCCCAUUUCAUCAACAAGGAAGCAUCGCCACAGACAACCUCUUGAAUAUGAAGACAUUUUAAUCCUGAGCUUUACUUCCUUGGACCAGGACUGUGAACUUGGCCAUCUCUGGUUCUGGGGAGGAAGGAGGUAAGGAGAAUCUGGGGAAUUUGGAGAAGGAAAAAGGAAUGGGUCAUGAGACUGGGGUGGGUAGGACGGUGUGUUCCCAUGGGCACACCGAGGCAGAACUUGGCCUCUAUGGUUAACUGGUUCCACGAAGCUGAACCUGACCUGCUGAAAGGGCAGGGUUGCCCGCCUCUCCCCUCUCCUUGCACAUGAGGAUUUCCCGGGGAGUAGCAUUGAGGUGUAAGGGAGCUUGGGUCUCAGGUUCCUCGAUUGGGACUUUUCAUUCCCUGUAGCAGAACAGGGAACUUAAUUUCUACUAGGCCUAGGACUCAUGCCCGAUUAUUUUCCCCAGUACAUCCUUCUGGAUUUGCUCUGUAAAUAUUUAUAUAAAAAUAAAUUCUAGGGCAGAGUUGAAUCACCCUGAGCAAAGAGCACUGUGGGCCAGGCAUGACCUGAGCUAGUCACCUAACACUCUCAGUUGCUGGACGGCAAACCAGUCCUCAUUUCAGCCCUUCGGGUUAGGGUUUCCCAGCCAGCAGCCACUGUCACACUUAGCUUUGGGAAGGGCACUUCCAGCCCUCGAACCAUGCAUAGACCUCCACGUAAAGCACUGACAUCUGUAGACCCCUGAGGGUCAGUUUAUAUAACCCCUGUCCCUCUUACCAGGAGUCACAAAUUCACUGAAGCCAGCCCCCAGGAGUGUUUUGUUUGGUCAACAGUGGCUUAAAAUUAACUGAUUUUGGAUUCCUUCAGGUGGAGUUGGUUCCAGCUCCUCCACAGACCCCACUAUUCCCUUUAGUUCCUGUGCAAGUAUGGUUUACAUAUUUACAUUACCUUCCAGGCCCCUGAAGAUCCCUGAGAUUUUCAAUCCGUUAUCUUGUGUCUUUGUACUCCACAAAGAGCAGACACUUAAGAAAAGAAACCAAGUGUUUGCUGUCUCUAAAUGAAUGUGUUCCGGAGACUUCCAUAAGCCUCACGAACCGAAACGUGCACUGCUUUGGCUUGUUUUUGGUGACCCAACUUGGUUCUCCCAAGGAUCUACCAGGGUCUGGGCAUAGGAUCCAGACCUUCCAGGGGAGGCCUGGCUGGUGCAGAUCUCUGUGGAAUCCCAUCAUUUGGGGGAGAAGGUGGAACUGGAACCUCCCCCUGCCAAAGUUCAGUCACUUACGUGCUGCUUUCACCAAAUCAAGUUUGGGGCAUUUGUGCUUUGCAAUCUGAGCUCCUGGGAAUGCCGUGAAAUAGAUAAAGAGCCAAGACAGUACUACAGGGGUCACAGAUCCCCAUAAUGUCACUACACUGCAACUCCAGGGAGUUCAUUCCCAGAGACUUUCUGAGAAUGCUGCUCAUCACUGUGGCUCUGAGGCCCCAUCUCUGUGCCUUGAAAAUUGUGUUCACUGAGCAUUCCAACUCUGCAGUCUCCGAGUCUUUUGGACAAUAUGUUCUCUGUCGGUGUCCCCAGCUGCCAUCUCCAGAUUCCUAUAGUUUUCUGUUUGAAUUUCUCCUACCGGAUCCUGCUCUGGUUCCUUUUCAUUGGCACCAUUCAUAGUACACCAUUCCUUGCCUGUGGCCUGAGACUCCAUGCUCGUAGCUGCUGGUGAGCCCUCUGGCCUCUCUCCACACACCCUAGUCUCAGAGGAUUCCUGAACUCUGGCAAUAGGGCAGUGCAGCAACUAAUCCAGAUUACAAUUUGACCAAUCCCUUAUUCUUAGCCACUGACCUCUAGCUUGGCCCAAGUAGCUUAUAUUGUUAGUGUCAGAACGUCAACUUCCACCAGAUGCAGGCUUGGGGUCCUGCCGGUUACAGACUGCUCAGUCGGGUCCAUGUGGGUCCUCUAGGGCAGCUGUCUUCCCUCCAGCUUUCCUCCGUUUUAGCUGGUGUGUAAAGUCAGAAAUCCUGUCCCCAGGCUGGAAGCUGUCUUGUACCCUAACUCCUCCUCUCACUAUAUCCUGCUCCUGCUUAAUUCUUUUCCUCUCUGAGACAGUUGAUGGGUCCACCUCUGUGCUCCACACAGCAUUUCAGAUACAGCUGUGGCUGCGCUUACCACAUUAUAUUCGUUAGUUGUUUAUGUGUCUCUCUGCUGGCUCCACUUUUAACUCAUUGAGGGCUGGGUCUU